GACGAGGCACUACGGUGCUGAAGCAACAAAUGCCCUGCUUCCAGGAAAAGCCUCUAAGCAUCAGGUAACAUCAAAUCGUACCCCAAACCGACACAGGUGGUCAGGUAGAGAAUACCAAGGCGCUUGAGAGAACUCGGGUGAAGGAACUAGGCAAAAUGGUGCCGUAACUUCGGGAGAAGGCACGCUGACACGUAGGUGAAGUGAUUUACUCAUGGAGCUGAAGUCAGUCGAAGAUACCAGCUGGCUGCAACUGUUUAUUAAAAACACAGCACUGUGCAAACACGAAAGUGGACGUAUACGGUGUGACGCCUGCCCGGUGCCGGAAGGUUAAUUGAUGGGGUCAGCGCAAGCGAAGCUCCUGAUCGAAGCCCCGGUAAACGGCGGCCGUAACUAUAACGGUCCUAAGGUAGCGAAAUUCCUUGUCGGGUAAGUUCCGACCUGCACGAAUGGCGUAAUGAUGGCCAGGCUGUCUCCACCCGAGACUCAGUGAAAUUGAACUCGCUGUGAAGAUGCAGUGUACCCGCGGCAAGACGGAAAGACCCCGUGAACCUUUACUAUAGCUUGACACUGAACAUUGAGCCUUGAUGUGUAGGAUAGGUGGGAGGCUUUGAAGCGUGGACGCCAGUCUGCGUGGAGCCGACCUUGAAAUACCACCCUUUAAUGUUUGAUGUUCUAACGUGGACCCGUAAUCCGGGUUGCGGACAGUGUCUGGUGGGUAGUUUGACUGGGGCGGUCUCCUCCUAAAGAGUAACGGAGGAGCACGAAGGUUGGCUAAUCCUGGUCGGACAUCAGGAGGUUAGUGCAAUGGCAUAAGCCAGCUUGACUGCGAGCGUGACGGCGCGAGCAGGUGCGAAAGCAGGUCAUAGUGAUCCGGUGGUUCUGAAUGGAAGGGCCAUCGCUCAACGGAUAAAAGGUACUCCGGGGAUAACAGGCUGAUACCGCCCAAGAGUUCAUAUCGACGGCGGUGUUUGGCACCUCGAUGUCGGCUCAUCACAUCCUGGGGCUGAAGUAGGUCCCAAGGGUAUGGCUGUUCGCCAUUUAAAGUGGUACGCGAGCUGGGUUUAGAACGUCGUGAGACAGUUCGGUCCCUAUCUGCCGUGGGCGCUGGAGAACUGAGGGGGGCUGCUCCUAGUACGAGAGGACCGGAGUGGACGCAUCACUGGUGUUCGGGUUGUCAUGCCAAUGGCACUGCCCGGUAGCUAAAUGCGGAAGAGAUAAGUGCUGAAAGCAUCUAAGCACGAAACUUGCCCCGAGAUGAGUUCUCCCUGAGACUUAGAGUCUCCUGAAGGAACGUUGAAGACGACGACGUUGAUAGGCCGGGUGUGUAAGCGCAGCGAUGCGUUGAGCUAACCGGUACUAAUGAACCGUGAGGCUUAACCUUAC
rnacentral:rRNA from 1 species